AGCGAACGCUGGCGGCAGGCCUAACACAUGCAAGUCGAACGAAGCCUUCGGGCUUAGUGGCGGACGGGUGAGUAACACGUGGGAACGUACCUUUUGGUUCGGAAUAACGCAGAGAAAUUUGCGCUAAUACCGGAUGAGCCCUUCGGGGGAAAGAUUUAUCGCCGAAAGAUCGGCCCGCGUUGGAUUAGGUAGUUGGUGUGGUAAAGGCGCACCAAGCCUACGAUCCGUAGCUGGUCUGAGAGGAUGAUCAGCCACACUGGGACUGAGACACGGCCCAGACUCCUACGGGGGGCAGCAGUGGGGAAUCUUGCGCAAUGGGCGAAAGCCUGACGCAGCCAUGCCGCGUGAAUGAUGAAGGUCUUAGGAUUGUAAAAUUCUUUUACCAGGGACGAUAAUGACGGUACCUGGAGAAAAAGCCCCGGCUAACUUCGUGCCAGCCGCCGCGGUAAAAC
rnacentral:rRNA from 1 species